GAACGCUAGCUACAGGCUUAACACAUGCAAGUCGAGGGGUCUCAACGGAGCUUGCUUCAGCGAGACGACCGGCGCACGGGUGAGUAACGCGUAUCCAACCUGCCCUUCAUAUUGGGAUAGCCUCUCGAAAAGGGAGAUUAAUACCGAAUAACAUGAGAAAGUUGCCUGAUUUUCUCAUGAAAGCUCCGGCGAUGAAGGAUGGGGAUGCGUUCCAUUAGGUAGUAGGCGGGGUAACGGCCCACCUAGCCUACGAUGGAUAGGGGUUCUGAGAGGAAGGUCCCCCACACUGGAACUGAGACACGGUCCAGACUCCUACGGGAGGCAGCAGUGAGGAAUAUUGGUCAAUGGUCUGACGACUGAACCAGCCAUGCCGCGUGAAGGUGACGGCCCUAUGGGUCUUAAACUUCUUUUGCAAGGGAGCAAUAAGGCGCACGUGUGCGUCGAUGAGAGUACCUUGCGAAUAAGCAUCGGCUAACUCCGUG
rnacentral:rRNA from 1 species